rnacentral:rRNA from 1 species
GACGAACGCUGGCGGCGUGCUUAACACAUGCAAGUCGAACGGUAAGGCCCUUCGGGGUACACGAGUGGCGAACGGGUGAGUAGCACGUGGGUGACCUGCCCUGCACUUCGGGAUAAGCCUGGGAAACUGGGUCUAAUACCGGAUAGGACCACUGCCUGCAUGGGUGGUGGUGGAAAGCUUUUGCGGAGUGGGAAGGGGCCGCGGCCUAUCAGCUUGUUGGUGGGGGGAUGGCCUAACAAGGCGACGACGGGUAGCCGGCCUGAGAGGGUGACCGGCCACACUGGGACUGAGAUACGGCCCAGACUCCUACGGGAGGCAGCAGUGGGGAAUAUUGCACAAUGGGCGCAAGCCUGAUGCAGCGACGCCGCGUGAGGGAUGACGGCCUUCGGGUUGUAAACCUCUUUCAGCACCGACGAAGCGCAAGUGACGGUAGGUGCAGAAGAAGGACCGGCCAACUACGUGCCAGCCGCCGCGGUAA